AAAAAGGGCAUUUGCUUUGGUUGGCACACGGACUCGGGGGUUCCCCCCCUGGCUCCGUGCGGAAUCGCUAUCAAGAGAUUCCGAAUGUAUAAUUUUUAGGACCCGAGGCAGUUAGCGACCGUUCGUCCUGACGCCUCC